UACGAAGGGGGCUAGCGUUGCUCGGAAUCACUGGGCGUAAAGGGUGCGCAGGUGGGUUUGCAAGUUCGAUGUGAAAGCCCCGGGCUUAACCCAGGAAUGGCAUUGGAUACUGCAGAUCUGGAGGAUCGGAGGGGGGACUGGAAUUCUUGGUGUAGCAGUGAAAUGCGUAGAUAUCAAGAGGAACACCAGUGGCGAAGGCGAGUCCCUGGACGAUACCUGACACUGAGGCACGAAAGCUAGGGGAGCAAACAGG
rnacentral:rRNA from 1 species